GAAAUAGCUCAGUUGGUAGAGCAUGAGGCUCUUAAUCUCAGGGUCUUGGGUUCAAUACCGAAGUUGGGCA